AGCGAACGCUGGCGGCAUGCCUAACACAUGCAAGUCGAACGGGAUCUUCGGAUCUAGUGGCGCACGGGUGCGUAACGCGUGGGAAUCUGCCCUUGGGUUCGGAAUAACAGUGAGAAAUUACUGCUAAUACCGGAUGAUGUCUUCGGACCAAAGAUUUAUCGCCCAGGGAUGAGCCCGCGUAGGAUUAGCUAGUUGGUGGGGUAAUGACCUACCAAGGCGACGAUCCUUAGCUGGUCUGAGAGGAUGAUCAGCCACACUGGGACUGAGACACGGCCCAGACUCCUACGGGAGGCAGCAGUGGGGAAUAUUGGACAAUGGGCGAAAGCCUGAUCCAGCAAUGCCGCGUGAGUGAUGAAGGCCUUAGGGUUGUAAAGCUCUUUUACCAGGGAUGAUAAUGACAGUACCUGGAGAAUAAGCUCCGGCUAACUCCGUGCCAGCCGCCGCAGUAA
rnacentral:rRNA from 1 species